rfam:Candidate division WOR-3 bacterium 4484_100 ex4484_100_scaffold_15552, whole genome shotgun sequence.
GCCAGCGUAGCUCAGGUGGUAGAGCAGCGGUUUCGUAAACCGCAGGUCAGCAGUUCGAAUCUGCUCGCUGGCU